CCUACCAUGCAAGUCGAACGGCAGCACAGCAGAGCUUGCUCUGUGGGUGGCGAGUGGCGGACGGGUGAGUAAUACAUCGGGACCUACCCAGACGUGGGGGAUAACCUCGGGAAACCGGGACUAAUACCGCAUACGUCCUACGGGAGAAAGCGGGGGACCUUCGGGCCUCGCGCGUUUGGACGGACCGAUGUUCGAUUAGCUUGUUGGUGGGGUAAAGGCCUACCAAGGCGACGAUCGAUAGCUGGUCUGAGAGGAUGAUCAGCCACAUUGGGACUGAGACACGGCCCAAACUCCUACGGGAGGCAGCAGUGGGGAAUAUUGGACAAUGGGCGCAAGCCUGAUCCAGCAAUGCCGCGUGUGUGAAGAAGGCCCUCGGGUUGUAAAGCACUUUUAUCAGGAACGAAAUCGGCAGGGUUAAUAGCCAUGUCGUCUGACGGUACCUGAGGAAUAAGCACCGGCUAACUUCGUGCCAGCAGCCGCGGUAAUACGAAGGGUGCAAGCGUUAAUCGGAAUUACUGGGCGUAAAGGGUGCGUAGGCGGUUAGUUAAGUCUGUUGUGAAAUCCCCGGGCUCAACCUGGGAAUGGCAAUGGAUACUGGCUGGCUAGAGUGUGUCAGAGGAUGGUGGAAUUCCCGGUGUAGCGGUGAAAUGCGUAGAGAUCGGGAGGAACAUCAGUGGCGAAGGCGGCUAUCUGGGACAACACUGACGCUGAAGCACGAAAGCGUGGGGAGCAAACAGGAUUAGAUACCCUGGUAGUCCACGCCCUAAACGAUGCGAACUGGACGUUGGUCUCAACUCGGAGAUCAGUGUCGAAGCUAACGCGUUAAGUUCGCCGCCUGGGGAGUACGGUCGCAAGACUGAAACUCAAAGGAAUUGACGGGGGCCCGCACAAGCGGUGGAAGUAUGUGGUUUUAAUUCGAUGCAACGCGAAGAACCUUACCUGGCCUUGACAUGUC
rnacentral:rRNA from 1 species